CUCUCUCCUUUCCAAAUCACAUUCCCAAAUCUGCAAAAAUUGGAGAAACCCAAAUCGCAGAGGAAACGGCGGCGCUUACUUCAUCCUCGUCCUCGCGACCUCUCCGGCGAAUCGCCGUCGCCAGCUCCACCGGAAUUCUACCAGUGCCGGCUACCUCUGUGCCCUCUCCCCCUCUGUUUUCUCCAAUUUAAUUUUCCCCCAAAAGGAGAAAUCCCUAAAUCGAAGAAGAGAGCAGCGCCUACUCUCAAUUCUCUUCACCUUUCCCGUCGUGACACGUAUCACCACCGCCGCUCCUUCCCUCGCGACGAAGGGUCCUCGCCGGCGUGCUGGCUCUCGCGCCAACCUCUACUUCGCGCCGCGAGCAGCAGCUCUUCCCGCCGCUUCUCUCGCCGUUCGCCGCUGCCUCCUUCACGAGGCAGCCUUGUCACUAAUCGGUGGCUCAUGCCUAUUCAGCGCUGCCGCCGGCGCUUCGCGCUCGCUCUCCUUACUCCGGCGAAGUCAGCAGUGUCGCCUCCUUCUCCCUUUCUCAGCCGCGGCCUGCAGCUGCCCCGUGGGAGCUUCCGGAGUUCCGCCGUCGCCGGACAAACCUUCGAAGCUAAGUCUCUUCCCCUAACCCCAUUCUUCCGUGGAUUUUGGAGUUCUCGAUUGAUUAUUGAUUCGAAACUUGGGUGUUUUUAAUCACUGGGAUGAGCUUAAUAUUUGUAUUUGGUCAUUGGGAUUUGAUGCAAAAGAUCAACUAAGUAUGAAGCUUAGGCAGUAGCUAAGCGGCAAAAUUCCAUGAAAGUACCUCAUGGGAGCUCUUAUCCGCCAUUUGUACCCGCAAAAAAAAUAUUUCCAAUGAAGGGAAAGACGCGAGCGCCUCUCGCGUGUUUAAAUGAAACACGCGUCUCUCUCUCGCGUGUAUAAACAAACAAACACCAUCACCGUCUCGCGUCUUUUGAGAAACACGCACGAGUCUCAUGCGUGUUUGCCUUUGAUACAGAUCCGGUUGGCACUGCUUCUAUUAAUCAUAGAAUUGAGUAUUUAUCUUUUAUUUUAUGUACCUUAGUUUAUUUCCUAUCUCAGUUUUCUUCAUUGUUAUUUUGUCAAUUGCGCAAUAUGCUCUGUAUGCUGAUAUAUUAGUGAAUGCUUAUGGUAUGCCCGCCUAUCACUCCAUAUCAUUAUAUGUCUUUUAUUGUCAAGGUUAAUCGUCAAAUAAUGCAUGGCAUUUUGAGUUGUAAGAAUUAAGACCCUUAAUUUUCUCAGUGAGAGUGGUUCGCGAGGUGGGAGUAAGACAGAAACAGUGCCGACCGGAUCUGUAUCAAAGGCAAACACGCAUGAGACUCAUGCGUGUUUCUCAAAAGACGCGAGACGGUGAUGCGUGUUUGUUUGUUUAUAUACGCGAGAGAGAGAGACGCGUGUUUCAUUUAAACACGCGAGAGGCGCUCGCGUCUUUCCCUUCAUUGGAAAUAUUUUUUUUACGGGUACAAAUGGCGGAUAAGAGCUCCCAUGAGUGUGUAUUUGGGCAUUACCUUGAUUGGGAUUCCCAAAAAUACAUUCUGCCACGUCAUACGGACUUCCCACUGCACUGCCACAUCAUAAGGACUUCCCAUUGCACAGUGGCGGACAUCCCCAAGGACUUCCCACAAUUAAAAAAAUUUAAUGCAAAUAACAGGAAUUCCGCGCGGACGUCUGUGGGAGUCAACGCAAUGCGGACAUCCGCAUGCCCGUCGCGAUGGAAUUCUGCGGAACUGCGGUGUCCUCGGAAAAAUUCCGUAUCCGUGCAUACCAUGCACAAUGGCGGACGUCCGCCGCGGAAUUCUGUCACGCCGGUCGGAAUUCCGCCGGGACGGACGCCAUUACUGAUGCUCUAAGCUUGCCGUCACUUCGGCUCCUUUCACCACCCCUCCUUGCUCCUUUGCCCCGAGCUUGCCACGCUCCUUGUGAAAAUUUGAUGUUCGAAUAUUGGGGAGGAAAGGUUGGUGGAAGGCAGUUUAUAUAGUGCCCUCUCUUUUGACAGUUUGUGACUGAAAUCUUGGGGACAAAGUCUCCUAUUUUUGGCUGCCAGCUUGCUCCCUUUUGAGCCCCUUUUGAGCUUUGUGAAAUGCUCAUCAUAUGGUGUAUAUUUUGGCAUUCCAAAAUUGUUGUACCGAAUGAUGUAAGUAAGCAACAUAGUGUAGUCUCUUUCACUUUACUCUCCCAAAAGAUAUGUAAAAUUCUUUUCACAAAGUAUUGCACUAAUUUAUUCUCUUUUCCUUUGCA